rnacentral:rRNA from 1 species
UCGUGAGAUGUCGGGUUAAGUCCCUUAACGAGCGAAACCUUUGCCCUUAGUUACCAUCGGGUUAUGCCGGGGACUCUAAGGGGACUGCCGGUGUCAAACCGGAGGAAGGUGGAGAUGACGUCAAGUCCUCAUGGCCUUUAUGCCCAGGGCCACACACGUGCUACAAUGGCGUGGACAGAGCGAACCAAGAGCGCAAGCUGGAGGAAAUCGCAAAAAUCACGCCCCAGUUCAGAUUGGAGGCUGCAACCCGCCUCCA